CUGGUCCUACUUCACUGACUUGGUACUAUUGGACUUAGUUUUUGUCAUGUAACAUUACGAAGCUUUUAUCAAAGCUACGACUUCUGCAUGAAUUUCAAGACAGCAGUGAGCAGACAGAUGGAUCUUCCUGGUCCUACUGCCGAAGUACCGACAUUGUGGAUGGCAGCACUCAGUGAAUUGCAGAACAGUCUUACAAACUGAUUACCAUUUUGUAUUGGAAAACAAGGUGAGGAAUUUGCACCAGGUCGAUAUACUUGUGUGUUGAGCAUGAUUUAUACGACUUCUGCAUGAAUUUCAAGACAGCAGUGAGCAGACAGAUGGAUCUUCCUGGUCCUACUGCCAGAGUACCGACAUUGCGGAUGGCAGCACUCAGUGAAUUGCAGAACAAUCUUACAAACUGAUUACCA
rnacentral:lncRNA from 1 species